GACGAACGCUGGCGGCGUGCUUAACACAUGCAAGUCGAGCGGUAAGGCCCUUCGGGGUACACGAGUGGCGAACGGGUGAGUAACACGUGGGUGAUCUGCCCUGCACUUCGGGAUAAGCCUGGGAAACUGGGUCUAAUACCGGAUAGGACUCCUGGCUUCAUGGUUGGGGGUGGAAAGCUUUUGCGGUGUGGGAUGGGCCCGCGGCCUAUCAGCUUGUUGGUGGGGUAAUGGCCUACCAAGGCGACGACGGGUAGCCGGCCUGAGAGGGUGACCGGUCACACUGGGACUGAGAUACGGCCCAGACUCCUACGGGAGGCAGCAGUGGGGAAUAUUGCACAGUGGGCGCAAGCCUGAUGCAGCGACGCCGCGUGAGGGAUGACGGCCUUCGGGUUGUAAACCUCUUUCAGCUAUGACGAAGCGCAAGUGACGGUAGUAGCAGAAGAAGGACCGGCCAACUACGUGCCAGCCGCCGCAGUAA
rnacentral:rRNA from 1 species